CAAUAGCGUAUAUUAAAGUUGUUGCGGUUAAAAAGCUCGUAGUUGGAUUUCUGUCGAAGACUGCCGGUCCGCUCUAUGAGCGUGUAUCUGGUUAGGCUUUGGCAUCCUCUUGAAGAACGUUGCUGUGCUUGAUUGCAUGGUGCGGUAUUCAAGACUUUUACUUUGAGGAAAUUAGAGUGUUCACGGCAGGCAAGCGCCUUGAAUAUAUUAGCAUGGAAUAAUAAUAUAGGAUCUUGGUUCUAUUUUGUUGGUUUCUAGAACUAGGAUAAUGAUUAAUUAGGGAUAAUUGGGGGCAUUUGUAUUAACGCGUCAGAGGUGGAAUUCUUUGGAUUAGCGUUACGACAAACUACUGCGAAAGCAUUUGUCCAAGGAAUGUUUUCAUUGAUCAAGAACGAAAGUAUGGGAUCGAAGAUGAUCAGAUACCAU
rnacentral:rRNA from 1 species